UAGGGAAUAUUGCAAAAUGGGCGAAAGCCCGAUGCAGCAACGCCGCGUGGGCGAUGAAGGCCUUCGGGUCGUAAAGCCCUUUUUGAGGGGAUGAGGAAGGACAGUACCCUCAGAAUAAGCCUCGGCUAACUACGUGCCAGCAGCCGCGGUAAAACGUAGGAGGCGAGCGUUAUCCGGAUUUACUGGGCGUAAAGCGCGUGCAGGCGGAUUGGAGAGUUGGAUGUGAAAGCUCCCGGCUUAACUGGGAGAGGUCGUUCAAUACUUCCAGUCUUGAGUGCAGUAGAGGGAAGUGGAAUGCCGGGUGUAGUGGUGAAAUGCGUAGAUAUCCGGAGGAACACCAGUGGCGAAAGCGGCUUCCUGGACUGUAACUGACGCUCAGACGCGAAAGCUAGGGUAGCAAACG
rnacentral:rRNA from 1 species